AUGGCUGACUCGGUGGUGCAGUUGCGGCGCGGCCCUAGCCGCUCUUCGUGGCUGCGGGUCCGCAAGGCCCGGCCCCAGCUCAUCCUCAGCCGCCGGCCCCGCCGCCGGCUCUGGACCUUGCGCUGGAGCGGCCGGCGGCGCCUGCGACGACGCCUGCUGCAGGCCCACGCGGCGGGCGCGGACUGGCUCGAGGACUCCGGCCAGUGCUCGCGCGCGGCGGCGCCGCGGAGGCCCAAGGCCGCGGACCCCGAGCCCGAGCCCGGCCCCGAGCCCGGCCCCGAGCCGGAACCGGCUGCCUCCACGAAAGGCCCCCAGAACCUCCCCUCCUGGUCCGUGCGGCAGCUGGGCCCGGGCCGCGCGUUGAUGCUGCUGCCCGCGGAGCAGACUUUUACUUUUAGCGGGAUCUGCCGUUUGACUUGCCUCUAUGGCCAGGUGGAGGUGUUUGGUUUCCUCAUCAGCCAAGGCCAGCCUGCCCAAGAUAUCUUCUCUACCUAUACCCAUGCGUACCUGACCAUUAAUGCAGUUAAUUACUCCAUGUCUGAGAAGAGAGAGAAGGAGAUGAGAAAGGAAGCCCGGAUUUUGCUCAGAUCUCAUCUUAACUUGGAGGACAGAUGUUGGGCAAUGAAGAAUUUUUCUCCUUUGUGUUCCAUUGUGAUGCUAGAACGUGUGAAAAACUCCACUGUAAACUUCCUAACCAGCUAUCCAGGUUUAUCUUACAUUUUCACGCAAGAGAUUUCAACUUUCCAGAUUAAUGCUGAAUAUUUUGCCUUGAAGUCUGUUGGCAUCAGAAAAGAGAAAAAGAAAAAAUCACUUAAUUUAAGUGUGAGUGCCCUGUCAGCCCUGGAGGAGUUGGUCAGCGUUUCUUCUGAAGAAGCAGAUGGCUGCCCUAUUGUUCUGGUCUGUGGCGCCCAGGACGUUGGAAAGUCAACAUUUAACAGAUACCUGAUUAACCAGUUGUUAAAUAGUAUUUCCUGCGUUGACUAUCUGGAAUGUGACCUGGGCCAGACCGAAUUCACUCCUCCAGGUUGCAUCUCUUUGCUUAAUAUUACGGAACCAGUUCUGGGACCACCGUUCACCCACCAGAGGACACCACAGAAGAUGGUAUAUUAUGGGAAACCUUCUUGUGAGAACAACUACGAGAAUUAUAUUGAGAUAAUAAAAUAUGUGUUCAGCUCUUAUAAGAGAGAGUGCCCGCUCAUCAUCAACACUAUGGGCUGGGUGGCAGACGAAGGGCUUCUGCUGCUCAUUGACCUGAUCCGGUUGCUGUCUCCCACCCACGUCAUUCAGCUCAGGUCUGCCCGGAGUAAACAGAUGGCCAACCUCACUCCGGAUUAUGUGGAUGACAUGGAUGGCUUGUAUACAAAAAGCAAGUCCAAAGUUAGGAACCGUGGCUAUGAACUUCCAGAAUUUGCAGAUAAUUUGGAAUUUGCUGACGAAGAUAAAGAGAGUUCAGUUCUUUUUACUGGACAUAAACUUAUAUGUGUUUAUUCAGAAUUUUCACCCAGAAAAUCUUCAAGGAAUAGGGAGUCACAUAACAGAAUUUUUCGAGAACUGGCAGUGUUAGGUUAUCUUAGCCAGCUGCUGCCCCCAGUGCCAAAACCACUCAGUCCUUUACAUGGCCUGACGCCCUAUCAGGUCCCUUUCAAUGCAGUUGCCCUCCGGAUUACUCAUGCUGAUGUCGCCCCCACUCACAUACUGUAUGCUGUGAAUGCCAGCUGGGUUGGCCUUUGCAAGAUCCUGGAUGAUGUCAGAGGCUACACAAGGGGGCCCAUCCUGCUGGCACAGACUCCCAUCUGUGACUGUUUGGGGUUUGGGAUCUGUAGAGGCAUUGACAUGGAGAAGCGGCUGUACCACAUCCUGACCCCCGUGCCCCCAGAAGAAUUGAGAACUGUGAACUGUCUCCUGGUGGGGGUCAUUUCUAUUCCACAGUGCAUCUUCAAGAGCCAGCGAGGACCUGAAGGGACGAUUCCCUACGUCACAACAGAUUAUAAUUUUAAACUUCCUGGAGCAUCAGGGAAAAUUGGAGCAAGAGAAUUUGAUGAGACACAGGAAGGGAAACUGAAUCGAAGACCCAGAUUCUAUCAGAAAAAGUAAACAAAUUUCAACAAGGGAAGAGAAGUUUGUACCAGGAAGCUUGGUGUGGAGCCUGAUACCAGCAGACCUGAAAGUCUGCGUGGCUGGAAGCUGGCAGCGAGCCUGGGACAUGGCCCUCCUGGGGAGCAGGCCCCACUCUCCUCCUCUCCUCCACCCCAAGCUGAGGGCUCUCUGGUGCCCAAGGAUUUCUCCCCAGUGCUGGGUCUUCGAUCUUCCAGGGGAAGCGGCCAGACCGGGCCAGGCCAGUGUCCAGGCCCGCAAGAUGCCCUCUGGCCAGAGUCCUCCCUGGAGGUCACAGGAGCCCUGCUACCUUCACCCACAAGGGUGGGGCAGAGCCUAGUUGGACCGAGCCUUGAGGAAUCUGAAGGUCAGCCCAGCAAGAGACAUUAACUGUGAACAGAUUCAAGUUCAAAUCAACAAGCAUCAGCUCCAGGCCAGACUGGUCCUGGGCCUCACUUUCAGGAGAGCAGGAAGCCAACUGCGUUCCUGGGGCUCCUGCACCAGAUG